UUUGAGUUUGAUCGUGGCUCAGAUUGAACACGGGCGGCAGGCUUAACACAUGCAAGUCGAGCGGUAGCACGGGGGAGCUUGCUCCCUGGGUGACGAGCGGCGGACGGGUGAGUAAUGUCUGGGAAACUGCCUGAUGGAGGGGGAUAACUACUGGAAACGGUAGCUAAUACCGCAUAACGUCGCAAGACCAAAGAGGGGGACCUUCGGGCCUCUUGCCAUCAGAUGUGCCCAGAUGGGAUUAGCUAGUAGGUGGGGUAAUGGCUCACCUAGGCGACGAUCCCUAGCUGGUCUGAGAGGAUGACCAGCCACACUGGAACUGAGACACGGUCCAGACUCCUACGGGAGGCAGCAGUGGGGAAUAUUGCACAAUGGGCGCAAGCCUGAUGCAGCCAUGCCGCGUGUGUGAAGAAGGCCUUCGGGUUGUAAAGCACUUUCAGCGAGGAGGAAGGUGGUGAGCUUAAUACGCUCAUCAAUUGACGUUACUCGCAGAAGAAGCACCGGCUAACUCCGUGCCAGCCGCCGCCGUAACACAA
rnacentral:rRNA from 1 species